rnacentral:rRNA from 2 species
CAAACUUGAGAGUUUGAUCCUGGCUCAGAACGAACGCUGGCGGCAUGCCUAACACAUGCAAGUCGAACGAGACCUUCGGGUCUAGUGGCGCACGGGUGC